AGAGUUUGAUCAUGGCUCAGAGCGAACGNNNNNNGGCAGUAACACAUGCAAGUCGAGCGGCCGUAGCAAUACGGCAGCGGCAGACGGGAUAGUAACACGUGGGAACGCGCCCUUCGGUUCGGAAUAACUCAGGGAAACUUGAGCUAAUACCGGAUACGCCCUUACGGGGAAAGAUUUAUUGCCGAAGGAACGGCCCGCGUCCGAUUAGCUAGUUGGUGAGGUAAUGGCUCACCAAGGCGACGAUCGGUAGCUGGUCUGAGAGGAUGACCAGCAUCACUGGGACUGAGACACGGCCCAGACUCCUACGGGAGGCAGCAGUGGGGAAUAUUGGACAAUGGGCGCAAGCCUGAUCCAGCCAUGCCGCGUGGAUGAUGAAGGCCCUAGGGUUGUAAAGUCCUUUUAACGGGGAAGAUAAUGACGGUACCCGUAGAAUAAGCCCCGGCUAACUUCGUGCCAGCAGCCGCGGUAAUACGAAGGGGGCUACGUUGCUCGGAAUUACUGGGCGUAAAGCGCACGUAGGCGGGUUCUUAAGUCGGUGGUGAAAUCCUGGAGCUCAACUCCAGAACUGCCUUCGAUACUGGGAAUCUUGAGUCCGGGAGAGGUGAGUGGAACUGCGAGUGUAGAGGUGAAAUUCGUAGAUAUUCGCAAGAACACCAGUGGCGAAGGCGGCUCACUGGCCCGGUACUGACGCUGAGGUGGAAAGCGUGGGGAGCAAACAGGAUUAGAUACCCUAGUAGUCC
rnacentral:rRNA from 1 species